CAGUCGCCACGGGAAUACAGAGGGUGCGAGCGUUAAUCGGAUUUACUGGGCGUAAAGCGUGCGUAGGCGGCUUUUUAAGUCGGAUGUGAAAUCCCUGAGCUUAACUUAGGAAUUGCAUUCGAUACUGGGAAGCUAGAGUAUGGGAGAGGAUGGUAGAAUUCCAGGUGUAGCGGUGAAAUGCGUAGAGAUCUGGAGGAAUACCGAUGGCGAAGGCAGCCAUCUGGCCUAAUACUGACGCUGAGGUACGAAAGCAUGGGGAGCAAACAGGAUUAGAUACCCCGGUAGUCCCUGUCUCUUAUCC
rnacentral:rRNA from 1 species